GCUUCUUCCUUCCCCUUUGUCCGCCCCGACUCCCCUGAUCUCACCGUCCUCCUCUUUCAGAUCCUCCCCCUCCCCAUCCACGGUAGCCGCCACCUCCCCAUCCAUGGCCAUCUGCCCCUAUGCGUCCCGCAACCGCCGCGACGACAGCCUCGUCCCCAGAGGCGGGGACUUCCCUUAAGGCGAACCUAGUGCACGUGGCGCCGGUACCGUUGAUGCGGGUCGGGUGGCAGCCAGAUCUGCCACGGCCAGAACCGGUGUCCUCUUCCUCCCUAUCCAGCUUCCUCCCAUGGUUGAGAAGAGGGCUUCGUCAAGGAUCCCAUGAUGAAGGUCAACGUGGGAGGCUGCUUCCUUCGAUGGAGGCCAUGAGUGCCACGUGGGCACACACGUGGCUGCGCUUCAAGCUCGACAGAUGCAGGGACGCCACCAUGGAACAGUCAGGGCCUCCCUUUUCCUCCCGUUUCGUCCGAUCCUCCACUGCCAGCCAUUUCCGGCGCCCCUGCACCACGGCGGCGAAGGGCACAAUGAUGAAUUGAACGCAAGAUCCUUCUGGUGAUCCAACAGACGCAAACAUCAGAUGCCUAAGAAAAGGAUUUGCAAAUAAAAUAGGAAUCCAAACUUGCAAAAUUCUCUUUUACAGACCGCUAGUACAACUGGGACUCUAGGUACAAGGCACAAUGUAAUUGCUCCAAAUACGCUCAUACAAGUUGCAACAAUGAAUUCUCGAAUGUUUCGAGCAAUGGAUCCAAAGAUUUAGCUGGAAUGGACUCUAGACCACGGA